rnacentral:rRNA from 1 species
UACGUAGGGUGCGAGCGUUAAUCGGAAUUACUGGGCGUAAAGCGUGUGUAGGCGGUUGUUUAAGUUUGGUGUGAAAUCUCCCGGCUCAACUGGGAGGGUGCGCCGAAUACUGAAUGACUUGGAGUGCGGGAGAGGUGAGUGGAAUUCCUGGUGUAGCGGUGAAAUGCGUAGAUAUCAGGAGGAACACCGGUGGUGUAGACGGCUCACUGGACCGUAACUGACGCUGAGACACGAAAGCGUGGGUAGCAAACAGG